CCGAGUUAGGGUCUCACCGGCCCGAUCUCCCAACCCUUUGUCUACUUGACCAUCGUUGCUUCGGCGAGCCCGUCCUCACGGACCGCCGGGGGGUCUCUGUACCCCUUGGCCCGCGCUCGUCGAUAGCCCCCCCAAAAAAUAAUCUUAACUAAACGUGUCUUGAAUCUAAGUAUUAUUGUUAAAUAAAAACA
rnacentral:misc_RNA from 1 species